GUGGUGGCUCAGCGGUAGAGCACUUGCCUAAUACAUGUGAGGCACUGGGUUCGAUCCUCAGCACCACA
rnacentral:tRNA from 1 species